ensembl:snoRNA
GUUGAGGUCUAUAUCGAUGGGGCUUUUUCUGUAGACUUAAAUGGUUGGAAACGCCUCACAGAGUAACUAUGUGGUUUCCUUUCUCACAGGACUAGAUCUGUGGAGAAGAACUACAAGAUAGAG